GCUGUCAGUACUACCACUGGCUUAGCUCGCUAGUUGUAUGAGAUUACCUGGAAUAAGCGAAUAGGGUUUACAAAUAAAAUAUGUAUAUUUCCACUCCGAAGCUGCUUUCCACGUUGAAGACAUCCAACACAAAUCUACGAACAUAUUUAGAGACAUUAAUCCUGACAACAUCCUGCUGAAGGCAGACGGUGAAGCGUGAUUGGCUGAUUUUGGCUUCUGUCUCCAGCUGCUGUUUCAGGAAUGAAGUUACAGACACACUCGGUAUUGAUGUUGGUGUCACUGAAGCAGUCAGCAUUCAGUGUUUUCCUGCUGGAGGACUGAAGAUACAUCAGCCCACCUCUCUGAUGACCUCUGACCUCCUGAAGAUGGGGUCCAGGAGUGAUUUAAGCAGGACGCAGGUGAAGAUCAGGUGCUGUUGUAGGUGUGGGACGAGGAUCUGCAAGCCGGUGCUGCUUAUAUAACACUUAAUGACUUCAGUUUAUGUGCAUAAAGAAGCAGUGACCUGAAGGAAAACAGCCGUGUUUCCCGAGUGACCUCGACACGCGCGUCUGCUGAAUAUGCAUGAGCUGCUGAAUAUUCAUGCAGUAUUCAAAACGUACAGGAACAGG